rnacentral:rRNA from 1 species
GAUUAUGGCUCAGGAUGAACGCUAGCUACAGGCUUAACACAUGCAAGUCGAGGGGCAGCAUUGGAGUAGCAAUACUCAGAUGGCGACCGGCGCACGGGUGAGUAACACGUAUCCAACCUGCCGCUUACUCGGGGAUAGCCUUUCGAAAGAAAGAUUAAUACCCGACGGUAUAAAGAGUUCGCAUGUUCUCUUUAUUAAAGAAUUUCGGUAAGCGAUGGGGAUGCGUUCCAUUAGAUAGUUGGCGGGGUAACGGCCCACCAAGUCUACGAUGGAUAGGGGUUCUGAGAGGAAGGUCCCCCACAUUGGAACUGAGACACGGUCCAAACUCCUACGGGAGGCAGCAGUGAGGAAUAUUGGUCAAUGGACGCGAGUCUGAACCAGCCAAAAGUAGCGUGAAGGAUGACUGCCCUAUGGGUUGUAAACUUCUUUUAUAAGGGAAUAAAGUGAGGGACGUGUCCCUUUUUGUAUGUACCUUAUGAAUAAGGAUCGGCUAACUCCGUGCCAGCCGCCGC